rnacentral:rRNA from 1 species
GUAGGGGGUAUCGACCCCUUUUGUGCCGGAGUUAACACAAUAAGUAUCCCACCUGGGGAGUACGAUCGCAAGAUUGAAACUCAAAGGAAUUGACGGGGGCCCGCACAAGCAGUGGAGUAUGUGGUUUAAUUCGAAGCAACGCGAAGAACCUUACCAGGGCUUGACAUCCUGCGACGACACUAGAGAUAGUGUUGUCCUACGGGACGCAGAGACAGGUGGUGCAUGGUUGUCGUCAGCUCGUGUCGUGAGAUGUUGGGUUAAGUCCCGCAACGAGCGCAACCCCUGUUGUUAGUUGCCAUCAGGUAAAGCUGCGCACUCUAACGAGACUGCCGGUGACAAAUCGGAGGAAGGUGGGGAUGACGUCAAAUCAUCAUGCCCCUUAUGUCCUGGGCUACACACGUACUACAAUGGCUGCUACAGAGGGCAGCGAAGCCGCGAGGUGGAGCAAAUCCCUAAAGGCAGCCCCAGUUCGGAUUGCAGGCUGAAACUCGCCUGCAUGAAGUCGGAAUUGCUAGUAAUGGCAGGUCAGCAUACUCCCGUGAAUACGUUCCCGGGCAUUGUACACACCGCCCGUCACACCAUGAGAGUUUGCAACACCCGAAGUCAGUAGUCUACUUAUAGAGGA